UACUCGACGAAGUGAGUGACAACCACGUUUGAAUUCAUUUGAACAUUUGCGAUGAUACAGUCAAGUGCUAUGGCAAGCAAUGUUAAAAUCGAUUUUGAGAUUAGUUUAUGUUACAUUCUGUUAUUUUGUUAAAUUAACUUAAGAGUGUUCAAGUUUUCUGUAGUUAUUUAAAGUAUGCUUGACUUCUAUGUAAUUCACAUAGUUUCCUAUUAUGUCAACGCCAUGCUUCCUAUUUAACGUGAUAAUUCAGCUUUUGUAACUUCAUGAAACAACCUCUGGAGAUUUUCUCAGGUAGUGCAUCUACCUGUCUCAUGCUGUGAUAGGAAAAUUUAGAGGGUUUCCGAUGUGUGACGGAGUCGAUCGUUUUUCGUAUCACUAGUCAGCGGCGUGUCCCACAGGAUAUCUUUUUUGUUGGUGGGAUGUUGGACGACAGGUGCUUGCAGCUUGAUUUUCUGGAUUUCAUUCUGUGGAGGAUUAUGUGACCGAGUGGUGGCAAUCGUAUGUCUUUCAGGCUAUUGAGCUCAUUACUUCGGAUAUCUAAGGAUCAUUUGAUCUAACUUUGUAUUCUAUUGUCUCAAGUGAUGGUGUGCAGCUCUCGAUUCUACAAUGUAGAAGUUUUUGAGUUUUACUGUACCGUAUGAUGCCGUGCCGUCGGAGUAUUAGUAAGGGGCAGGUUGCGAUGUGGUGCGCUCUGCAGCUGAUGGCUUUGUUAAGGUGGAUAUUCUCAGGUGUGUGAAGGUCUUCCUGACGGAUUUCACAGUUCAGGUUCCAAUAAGAUGAGGUUGCUUUGGGGUUUCCUUGAUAUUUCUUUAUAAUGUGAAGGUUGUUAUUGGAUAUAUAGCCUGGCGGACUUCAGCAUUUCCAUUAGCCCAGGGUAUUGCUGCUGCAAAUAUUCUGGUGUGUAUGGUUUAAAUAUAUUCGUCGAUUUACCCAUGACAAUAUCAUAUUUCCAGACAUACAAUGACGGCCGUGCAUCUGCAGUGCAUGACUGAACUGCUACUGCCCAAUUGCAAGCGGUGUCAGAGAGCGGUAUCGUCUUUUUAAAGGCUAGGAAGAGGGCACACUAAUUAAAAUCUUGGUCUUCUGGUAUUCCCCUUAUCCUUAAUAAGUCGUACCUAUCUGCCGUGUCAUAGUGGGACGUUAACGUACAGUUUCAGGUCAAUACUUCGUAGCUUCAUCUGGCACUACCUUACAGCGUGACAAGCAUAUACGUGUGGAAUGUUUUCAGUUGUUCGGAGGCUGCUAUUCUUUCGUGGGACGUUGUCUGAGCCGCAAUCUAGUUCAUUCUUGGAUAUCCUAUCAUCGAUCUCUUGAAAUAAAAUUUGAAAAUCACA